AUGUGUCCCUUCAUUUCCUACUUUAUUGAGAGUUUUUAGCAUGAUGGGGUGUUGAAUUUUGUUGAAAGCCUUUUCUGCAUCUAUUGAGAUAAUCAUGUAAUUUUUGUCUUUAAUUCUGUUUAUGUGAUGAAUCACAUUUAUUGAUUUGUGUGUGUUUUUAUCCAAAUUUGAAUCCUGGAGAUGAAGCCUACUUGAUCACGGUGGGUAAGCUCUUUCAUGUGAUGCUGGAUUUGGUUUACAAGUAUUUUUUUGAGGAUAUUUUGCAUCAGUGUUCAUCAGUCAUAUUGGCCUGAAGUUUUCUUUUUUAUGUUGUGUCUCUGCCAGGUUUUGGUAUGAAGAUGAUGCUGGCCUCAAAGAAUGGAAAGUGGAGUCCUGAAGGCAAAGCAGUGAGUGAAGCCAGCAGCCUACAGGACGCUUUUGGUUUCCCGAAGGAGUAGAAAGAAGAACAACUAUAAGGAAGAGAAAAUGGGAAUUUCAAAGACAAACUUGCCUAUUACAAAAUUUUCCCAGGGGCCGAUUCUCAGCAGUAACUAUUGAGCAGGUAAGAUGAUUGUCCAGACACAUCAUGCAUGUUUCAAUCUUCUCUGUAGGUGGCACUGAAUAGUCGUAUAGAGAAAUAAGGAAGCUGUAUCACUUGCCUGGUAAAAUUGUGAUCAGAUUUUUAUAAUCCUGAUAUCUAUAAACUCCAACUAUCUUUUAACAGUC
rnacentral:lncRNA from 1 species